rnacentral:rRNA from 1 species
CAGCCGCCGCGGUAAUACGUAGGUGGCAAGCGUUGUCCGGAAUUAUUGGGCGUAAAGCGUCUGUAGGUGGCUUUUCAAGUCCGCCGUCAAAUCCCAGGGCUCAACCCUGGACAGGCGGUGGAAACUACCAAGCUGGAGUACGGUAGGGGCAGAGGGAAUUUCCGGUGGAGCGGUGAAAUGCAUUGAGAUCGGAAAGAACACCAACGGCGAAAGCACUCUACUGGGCCGACACUGACACUGAGAGACGAAAGCUAGGGGAGCAAAUGGGAUUAGAUACCCGGGUAGUCCCUGUCUCUUAUAC